UGCGGAUCGUGUGGAUCCUACUUCCUGUGUCUUGCCUGGCCGCCAGCAAGACUGAGGUGCAGGUGAACGAAUGAAGGAGUCUACAAUAGCCCAAGACCUAGGAAGACAAACCAGGAGUAUGAUGUUGGAAAAACAGAAGAAUAGGUUCCAAGGACGAAGUGGUGAGCAGUGCUGACGUGGCAGCCAUCAGUCUCGUGCAAAGGUGAAGAGUGCCUAUCUUGUGACUGCCGUUGGCUAAUCCGAGCCUCCCCAAGAUGCUGAGUCCUUUCCAACGGGUCCUAACCUGGUGAUUAAGGUGCUAUGCGAGGCACUAGUCAUGCAGAACUGAACAAGAAAAUGUUCCUGUGAAGCGCAUCCUGCAGAGGGCGCAGCUCACAGUGGCCCAUGAGGGGAUCGAACCGGCAAGCUUGGUGUUCCCACCACCACGCUCUAACCAACUGAGUUAACCGGCCAUCCCUAACAUACUUCUAACUGUGGAACCCCAGAAUGAAGGAACAGAAAGAGCAAAAGAGAGGCACUUUUGAAGACAUAAUGGCUGUAAAAUUUCUACAAAUGAACUAAAUCUGCAUGUCCAAAUCACAUAAUACAUCUAGUUAAAUAAGAAAAAUGCACGCGGUGGUAGCCCGUCUACAAGAUAGCUCGCGAUGAUCUUCACCUUGGUAUUCGUAACCUGUGUGUAGUUGCCUCCUGCACUGUAUCAGGGUAGGUUGGUGUGACCAACAGAAUAGAAGUGAUAAUAUAUCGCUUCUGAGAUUAGGUUCUAAGGGACACUGUGGCUUCCACCUUGGUGAUUCUCUUUUGGAUACUUGUUCUGGGGAAAGUCCGCUGCCGUGUCAUGAGCAGCCCUAAGGAGAGGCCCACAUGAUGAAGAACUGAGGCCUCCUACCAGCAAUCCUAUGAAUGAGCCAUUUUGAGCAGAUCCUUAAGCCCUAGUCAAACGUUCAGAUGACGAUAGCCCCAACCAACAGUUCGUAAGAGACUGUGAGCCAGAAUCACCUAGAUAAGCAGCUCCCAGAUUCCUGACCCUCCGAAAAACUAUGUGAGAUAACAAAUACCUAACCUGCUAUGUUUGCGGUGAGUUUUACACAGGGAUGGAUGACUAACACACAUGCUAAGACCAAACAGUUUCGAAUGGCUUAUGAAGAGACUUCUCCAACUGGUCCAGACCGUCUCUCCAGCUUCACUUGAAACACACCGAAGUUCUUUCAGUUUCUGUAAUGCAUCCUGUUCUCUCUUAUUUCCACCCCUCUGGACAGCUCACAUGAUGUACCCCCUGCCUGACAGUCUUCGACAUCUCCUCUACUCCUAACGCAUAUACUCCUUGGGCUAACCUCCCGAUCAUUCGAGCACUCAUAUCGUCUAACAAACUCUUGUUAAAUUGUUUCUCCUUCCAUUAGACGGCAGCCUCCAAAGAGGCGGAGACAAUAUCUGUCUCCAUUAUUAUGCCAGCACAGUUCCUAGCACAAAGAAGGCACUCAGUAAAUAUUUGUCCCUCACAGCCCCCAGGAUAGGGACAGGCAGAAGGCUAAAGGUGGAAGAAUGUAAACAUUCUUAGGCAAUGAUCCAAACAAAUCUUCAGCCUAGCAACUGAAAUAACUGCAAAAGAAUCGAGAAACCCCUAUAUAUACAACCUCAGAUUUAGGGAAGGCUUGGGGUAGGGUCGAGACUCUAAAGUUGGAUGGUUUCCAGCUCCUCCCAAGUUGAGACCCCCUUCUUGUGGUUUCAUUAUGAUCCUUGAAUGGAAAUCUCUGAUCAGACACACCCAUUCUUAAAAGCACACUCCCAAUUUACUCAAAGAACUAACAGAAAUGAUUUGAAAAUAAUUACCAUGUUCUUUGUUUGUAGGACAAUUCCAGCCUAUUAUAUUGAUACUGAAGAUCUGAUCGUAAAUGGUAUUUGCAGUG